CCUACGGGAGGCAGCAGUGGGGAAUAUUGGACAAUGGGGGCAACCCUGAUCCAGCCAUGCCGCGUGUGUGAAGAAGGCCCUCGGGUUGUAAAGCACUUUCAGUGAGGAAGAACGCCUGGUGGUUAAUACCCAUCAGGAAAGACAUCACUCACAGAAGAAGCACCGGCUAACUCCGUGCCAGCAGCCGCGGUAAUACGGAGGGUGCGAGCGUUAAUCGGAAUUACUGGGCGUAAAGCGCGCGUAGGUGGCUUGAUAAGCCGGUUGUGAAAGCCCCGGGCUCAACCUGGGAACGGCAUCCGGAACUGUCAAGCUAGAGUGCAGGAGAGGAGGGUAGAAUUCCCGGUGUAGCGGUGAAAUGCGUAGAGAUCGGGAGGAAUACCAGUGGCGAAGGCGGCCUUCUGGACUGACACUGACACUGAGGUGCGAAAGCGUGGGUAGCAAACAGGAUUAGAUACCCCAGUAGUC
rnacentral:rRNA from 1 species